AUUGAACGCUGGCGGAAUGCUUUACACAUGCAAGUCGAACGGCAGCACGGGGCAACCUGGUGGCGAGUGGCGAACGGGUGAGUAAUACAUCGGAACGUGCCCAAUCGUGGGGGAUAACGUAGCGAAAGUUACGCUAAUACCGCAUACGAUCUACGGAUGAAAGCGGGGGAUCGCAAGACCUCGCGCGAAUGGAGCGGCCGAUGUCAGAUUAGGUAGUUGGUGGGGUAAAGGCUCACCAAGCCGACGAUCUGUAGCUGGUCUGAGAGGACGACCAGCCACACUGGGACUGAGACACGGCCCAGACUCCUACGGGAGGCAGCAGUGGGGAAUUUUGGACAAUGGGCGCAAGCCUGAUCCAGCCAUUCCGCGUGCAGGAUGAAGGCCUCGGGUUGUAACG
rnacentral:rRNA from 1 species